rnacentral:rRNA from 1 species
CGGACGGGUGAGUAAUGUCUGGGAAACUGCCCGAUGGAGGGGGAUAACUACUGGAAACGGUAGCUAAUACCGCAUGACGUCGCAAGACCAAAGAGGGGGACCUUCGGGCCUCUUGCCAUCGGAUGUGCCCAGAUGGGAUUAGCUAGUAGGUGGGGUAACGGCUCACCUAGGCGACGAUCCCUAGCUGGUCUGAGAGGAUGACCAGCCACACUGGAACUGAGACACGGUCCAG